GACCAUGGCCUCCAGCCCCAGCGUGUCGUACAGAGGAACCACCGCCAUGGAGUAGGUGUAGCAGGCCAGCUCUGAGAUGAUCCACUUCCACCAGCAGAGGGAGACAAAGCAGCACCGUUAGACUCACCUCCAACCUUCACGCCCUGCUGAGUUAGAGAUCUAAACAUCUGGGGAUUUGUGUGAGAUAAGCAUGGCCUCCCCUGAGAGGACUUCAGAGGUUUUCAAAGAACAGCAUGAAUGUUUUCAGGCCUCUCUGGAACAUGUCGAAGGCUGUCCUGGUGUCAUCGUAGUAAAAUUCCAGCAGUGUGUCAUCUUUUAGAAGAGCAGACCGCCUGCAGCUGGGAUCUCCCUGCAACAAACACACACAGUAAACACCUAAAAACACUCCUAACAUCAUGACGAAUGCAUUUCACACAUGUCUAAAUAUAACCAUGGUCCACUCACAUUGAUAGCCACAGACUGGGCCUGCAGGUCACAGGGAGGACGCAUGGGUCGAGGACGGGUCACCAGCCAGUACGCUGUGAUAGAGGCGAGAGCUCCUAAACCCAGCAGAGAGGAUUGGGACAGAGACAGGGAGGACAGGGGGAAGGACGGCAGGAGACUCCAGAAAUCCUCAGAAUCAGACCCUUUGAGACCAGCGCUGGAGCGAAGUGACCGUAACCACUCCUGGAAAUGCAUAGCUGAGAGAGGAGGACAGAGAGAAGGACACGGUGAAAUACGAGAGA